rnacentral:rRNA from 1 species
UACGUAGGGGGCAAGCGUUGUCCGGAAUCAUUGGGCGUAAAGCGCGCGUAGGCGGCUCGAUCAGUCUGCUGUGAAAGUCAAAGGCUCAACCUUUGAAUGCCGGUGGAUACUGUCGAGCUAGAGUCCGGAAGAGGCGAGUGGAAUUCCUGGUGUAGCGGUGGAAUGCGCAGAUAUCAGGAGGAACACCAACGGCGAAGGCAGCUCGCUGGGACGGUACUGACACUGAGACGCGAAAGCGUGGGGAGCAAACAGG